rnacentral:rRNA from 1 species
GGCAGCCCAAGUGAUGGCCGAUAUUAUUGGGCCUAAAGCGUCCGUAGCUGGCCUUGCAAGUCCGUCGGGAAAUCCACCCGCUCAACGGGUGGGCGUCCGGCGGAAACUGUGCGGCUUGGGACCGGAAGAUCUGAGGGGUACGUCCGGGGUAGGAGUGAAAUCCCGUAAUCCUGGACGGACCGCCGAUGGGGAAACCACUUCAAGAGAACGGAUCCGACAGUGAGGGACGAAAGCUAGGGUCUCGAACCGG